GACGAACGCUGGCGGCGUGCCUAAUACAUGCAAGUAGAACGCUGAAGGAGGAGCUUGCUUCUCUGGAUGAGUUGCGAACGGGUGAGUAAAGCGUAGGUAACCUGCCUGGUAGCGGGGGAUAACUAUUGGAAACGAUAGCUAAUACCGCAUAAUAGUAGAUGUUGCAUGACAUUUGCUUAAAAGGUGCAAUUGCAUCACUACCAGAUGGACCUGCGUUGGAUUAGCUAGUUGGUGGGGUAACGGCUCACCAAGGCGACGAUACAUAGCCGACCUGAGAGGGGGAACGGCCACACUGGGAAUUGGAAACGGCCCAGACUCCUUCGGGGGGCAGGAGUAGGGAAACUUCGGCAAUGGACGGAAGGCCGACCGAACAAAGCCGCGGGAGUGAAGAAGGUUUUCGGAUCGUAAAGCUCUGUUGUAAGAGAAGAACGAGUGUGAGAGUGGAAAGUUCACACUGUGACGGUACCUUACCAGAAAGGGACGGCUAACUACGUG
rnacentral:rRNA from 1 species